GGAAUUCCAGUGCUUUUAGUUUUUUUAUUGUUGUUGUUAUCUCCCACAGUUCUCGCCAAGUCUCGUCGCCCAAUCUCUGAUAUUGAGACGAGGCAGAAGAAGAACCAAUGCCAUUGCUAUUGAGACGAGGAGAGCGGAUUGUGGGGUUGGCAAUGUAAGUCUUCUUUGAUAGCAAAAGAGAAUUGUGCUUUGCGAUGCCUUUCUUCAACUUGUUAUGAGCUUGUCUACGAGAGUGAUCCGCUUGAAGAAGGAGGGAAAGAUCUAGUUAGGGGCCAAGAGUUCAAGAGAAAGAUCUAGUUAGGGGCCAAGAGUUCAAGUACUGUAUGCACAAGUUAUCUUUGGGAGAGAGCCUUGAGGGUAUCAAGGGUUCAUUUAAUUAUUAAAUAUCUGAGCUAAAAAUGUUGCUUGUAAAGUAAGUUCGUAUGAAGCUGUCCAUUUCUCCAACUCUGGAAAAAGAAGAAAAAAACAGGAUUGAUAAAAGUCAGAGUUCAUUUUCCAAUUCUCCUCUUGCAUGUAGUGGAAUGCUUUGCAGGUUGAGCCGCAAACCAGGUUCAGGCUGUCCAGAAUAUCUGGCAUUAGGGUUCAUACUUUAUCCUUCAUCAAUGAUUGGGAGUUUACCGAAUGCGACAACUUGCAACUAUUUUCUUUAACGUCUGUAAUAGUUACAUUAAUAUGCUUGGACUUUAGUCAAUCUGAAUGAAACCGAGGUCAGCCUAGCAUCCGAAUUUCUCAUGUGCUAGCAUAUUAUCCUGAUAGAGAUGAAAGAGAAUGUGUUGCUACUGUUUCAAUAUUAACAUGGAGGUUUAGAGUUUUA